rnacentral:rRNA from 1 species
AUCUUCGGCUAUGGACGCAAGUGUGACGGACCACCGCCGCGUGAGUGAUGAAGGUAUUCGGAUCGUAAAACUCUGUUGCCAGGGAAGAAUUGGCCCGGGACUAACUGCCCAAGCUGUGACGGUACCUGAGAAGAAAGCCCCGGCUAACUACGUGCCAGCAGCCGCGGUAAUACGUAGGUGGCAAGCGUUGUCCGGAUUUAUUGGGCGUAAAGCGCGCGCAGGCGGUCUUUUAAGUCUGAUGUGAAAUCUUACAGCUUAACUGUAAGCGGUCAUUGGAAACUGGGGGACUUGAGUGCAGAAGAGGAGAGUGGAAUUCCAUGUGUAGCGGUGAAAUGCGUAGAGAUAUGGAGGAACACCAGUGGCGAAGGCGACUCUCUGGUCUGUAACUGACGCUGAGGCGCGAAAGCGUGGGGAUCAAACA